UACAGAGGUCUCAAGCGUUGUUCGGAUUCAUUGGGCGUAAAGGGUGUGUAGGUGGCGCCGUAAGUCGGGUGUGAAAUUUCGGAGCUUAACUCAGAAACUGCCAUGGAUACUAUUUGUCUUGAAUGUUGUGGAGGUAAGCGGAAUAUGUCAUGUAGCGGUGAAAUGCUUAGAUAUGACAUAGAACACCAAUUGCGAAGGCAGCUUACUACACAAAUAUUGACGCUGAGGCACGAAAGCGUGGGGAUCAAACAGG
rnacentral:rRNA from 1 species